UGGGGAAUAUUGCACAAUGGGCGCAAGCCUGAUGCAGCCAUACCGCGUGUAUGAAGAAGGACUUCGGGUUGUAAAGUACUUUCAGUCGGGAGGAAGGUGGUAAGGUUAAUAACCUUGGCAAUUGACGUUACCGACAGAAGAAGCACCGGCUAACUCCGUGCCAGCAGCCGCGGUAAUACGGAGGGUGCAAGCGUUAAUCGGAAUUACUGGGCGUAAAGCGCACGCCGGCGGUUGAUUGAGUCAGAUGUGAAAUCCCCGGGCUUAACCCGGGAAUUGCAUCUGUGACUGGUCAGCUAGAGUCUUGUAGAGGGGGGUAGAAUUCCAUGUGUAGCGGUGAAAUGCGUAGAGAUGUGGAGGAAUACCGGUGGCGAAGACGGCCCCCUGGACAAAGACUGACGCUCAGGUGCGAAAGCGUAGGGAGCAAACAGG
rnacentral:rRNA from 1 species